rnacentral:rRNA from 1 species
GACGAACGCUGGCGGCGCGCUUAACACAUGCAAGUCGAGCGAGAACCAGGCCUUCGGGCCUGGGGACAGCGGCGAACGGGUGAGUAACACGUGGGUAAUCUGCCCUCGGUUCCGGAAUAGCCCGGGGAAACCCGGAUUAAUGCCGGAUAGCCUCUUGAGCUUUCGGGCUCUCGAGAAAAGGUAGCUUUGGCCUCUGACCGAGGAUGAGCCCGCGGCGGAUUAGCCUGUUGGCGGGGUAACGGCCCACCAAGGCAACGAUCCGUAGCUGGUCUGAGAGGACGAUCAGCCACACUGGGACGUGAGACACGGCCC